GUGAUUUCGGGAAGAGAGAACAGAGGACUCCGGGAGAAGCCGGGAAGGGUCAGGCCCCUGCCUGGAAGGGAGAUGUUAAUUGUUACCAGAUAGCUUUUAUGAACCUGAUGGUGUCCCCACAGCUCUCAUCCAGCUCUCAACGUCCCCCGGGUUUUCUGUCUGCUGUGACCCAAGACGACCCUCAGGUCGGCGCACAGGCUCCGUCCGCUCCCGGCCUCCGCACUCGUUGCAGCGCUGCGCGUUCAGUUGCUCGGGAGCGGGCUUGGGCUGCGGCUUCCCUCUCGCCUCUCUGUCAGGUUUGGGGAUGAGAGCUGUCCCAGCCUCAGAUGCUCUGGGGCCUGUUUCCUAUUCUCCCAGCUGCGGAACGGCUCCUGUCUUGUGGUUGAAUAUUUGCAAGCUCUCCUCAGUGAGGCUCUGGGCUCGCAGCCAUUGCCGAGUCGCGUCUGUUUCUGUCCAUUUCAGUGCUUGAAGAUUGAAUUGCAGGGGUGCGGGCGCUGUAUUUCCUGACUGCGGAGCAGGGUGUUAGGGAAAGAGCUGCCUGCCUGGACCCGCGUUCUUUCUGGAUCACUGCACCCUCAUCGCCCACGCAAACAGCCCCGCACGGCCAGUCAGCUCAGCGCGGCACCGUGUAGUCAGACGUGGCGGCUGUUGGGUGCCUGGGCCCGGGGACGGCGUGCGGCCCGAAACGAUCUGAUCCGCCCAGAACAUCUUAAUGGUUUAGAUUAAGUGGGCAUGCGGGCCGAGCCUGCUCAGAUGGCAAACCCAGGCUCGCCUGUGACCGAAAGGGACUUUCUCUGAGACCAGAAGAGGGAGAGGCUGCCCCGCCGGCCCCACAGACAGACAGACAUACAAAUAAUUUGGGACCACGAACAAACUCUUGAAACCAUAAGCCAGUUCUCUGAUGCAAGUGGGAAGGACUCAUGGCAGGUGAGACUUGACCUGUACUGGGUUAUCAGGCAUCAAAUGAGAGCUCUGCGUAUAACGGGUGGGGGUGUGGGGAAUGGCCAAGGGCGUCAGCAGAGGGGGACCAGCAUUCCGCCUGCUCUCAGCCUGCUGAGCACUGACGUCUGUGUCCCUGCCAGACUGAGUUAGUCUGAAGGGGCAAGAGGCCAUCAUCAGGAUGCCACCCUCGUGGGGAUCAAGCCUGGGGGACACGGGCCAUUGCCUGGAGUCAGGGACUGCCUGCACCUUGGCCUGGGGAGGCUUCUGAGUUUGCACACAGCUCUGGCAGUUCUUAGGAUCAUCUCCGUAACUUCCACGACUUGUUUCAUUUUACUGAAGUGGGAUUCGUGUAACACGACCAUUUUAAAGUGAACGGUUCGGGGGUGUGUGGCACACUCACGGUAUUUUGGGACCACCACCCCUAUAGCGUUCUGAAACACGUCAUCACUCCAAGGGUUCCUCCCUACCCGUGCAGCUCUGACGCCCCUCCUGUCUUCCCCCAGCCCCUGGAAGCAAAACCUGCUUUCUGUCUCCGUGGGUUUGCCUGUCCUGACAUUUCCCAUAAAUGGAUUCACACAGUAUCUGCCCUUUGCAUCCAGCACCCUUCACUGAGCAGACUGUCUGCAGGGUUCACGGUGCUGCAGCGAGCGUGAGGCUCCAUCCCUUCUUAAGGCCGGAUGGUCAGUCCACGCACUUUAUGGACAGACUGCCUCUGUGUCCUCAGCUGAGGACCCUGGGGCUGUCCCCACCGUCUGCUGUCCCAUGUCUCCCGGGUAAAGCCGAGGAGUGGAAUCACUGGGUCGUGCGGCAUUUCUAUGUGUACCUUUUGGAAGAACGGCAACAUCACUCUCUAAUCCGUUAUUUUCUUUUUCUUUUUUUUUAAAUUUCAGUUAAUCACUUUAUUUGACUGCACCGGGUCCUCAUUGUGGUGCGUGAACUCCUGGUUAAGCAUGUGGUUUCCUGACCGGGAUCAAACCCAGGCCCCUGCGCUGGGAGGGCGCAGUCUUAACGUCUGGACCACCACAGGAAGUCCUUACUUUAUUUCUAAUUUCCCUUCACUUGCUCUUUCCUUUGACAGCUUAAAAAAUGGGAAGACCUUUUCAGCAAAGCAAAAGAAACAAGUCACAACUUAGGUGUGAAUUAAAUGCGACACAUUUUAAAUACACCCCAACCACGUUUGAUUUUCCCCUUGUCUUUACUUCUGCAUACAGCAUUAAUUUAUCAGAAAUCAUGAUACUGUGGCUUUGACUUGGCUUUGUCCUAAAAAGAUUUCUCGUUCAGGGCCCUGGAGGCUGCCCCAAGGCCCAGAAGGGGAAUCUGCUGGACACUGACCCCGGGCCUGUCGGCCUGGCCGGCCGGGCCUUGCCUUCUGCACUCCCUGUAGGUGGUGAGUCUGCUGGACGGUGGGCCUAGACACUGACCCUGGGCCUGUCAGCCUGGCCGGCCGGGCCUUGCCUUCUGCACUCCCUGAAGGUGCUGAGUCUGCUGGACGGGGUGGGGGGCCUGGACACUGACCCCAGGCCUGUCAGCCUGGCCGGCCGGGCCUUGCCUUCUGCACUCCCUGAAGGUGCUGAGUCUGCUGGACGGGGUGGGGGGCCUGGACACUGACCCCAGGCCUGUCAGCCUGGCCGGCGGGGCCUUGCCUUCUGCGCUCCCUGUAGGUGGUGAGUCUGCUGGACGGUGGGCUUAGACACUGACCCCGGGCCUGUCAGCCUGGCCGGCCGGGCCUUGCCUUCUGCGCUCCCUGUAGGUGGUGGUCCAGGAAGACGGGCCCUGACGCCUCCUCUUCCCAGACGCCUUUCCCCGAGCUUGAGCCUCUCUCCUCCGUGUGCUCUGCGGGCUUCCCGGUGUCUUUACGUGGCUUUGGCCGUUUACCCCGUGUUGGUGACUGCCGUCUCUGAGAAGGGGCCUGUGUCCAUGUUACCGCCUGCCGUUCUUUGUUUGAUUUUGGUGGGGCAAGUGCUUUCCUGUGAAUCUUCUUAAAAGUAUCCUUAACUAUUUUAAUAUACGUAUAUUUAUUUUUUCAGAUUCAAAGCCACUCCUUCAGAGUGAAGACAUUAAGGUCGACCUGACUGCCCCCAGGAGUUUCCUUGUGCAGCAAGCUCAGGGAUUUCCCUCCAAAAUCCUGUGAAAGCCGCUGGGUCUCCGAGGACCAGGCCUUCUUUCAGAGGAGAGGAGCUGCUUGUCUCUGAAGCAGCUCAGCAGGGGAAGGACUAUUUGCAUUGGGUUUUGUUUAAUUUGCCCGAGCCAAGCACACCGAGUCCAUUUGCCAUCACAUUAUCUAAGACAGCUCCAGAGCUUCUCAUUCUAGGAUCAAUUCCAUCCCGGAGUGACAUCCACUUAACACCCAGGGCCCCAUGCUUUUAGCUGAAUAAAGGUCAGGCCGUCCGCCGUCUCGGUGGCCGCCCAUCAUCGCAAGGGACGAGAGGCCCCCCAGGGAAGGUUAACGGAUGCAAAGCUCCGGGCUCACCUCCGCAAGCAGGAGACAUUUCCAUUUUUACUCCGUUUGGUGGGUGGGUAUUUAUGCUUUUCACUUUUAACCACUCCGUUUAGGGCGUUCACCUGGGAAACACCGUCUUGCAGGGGACCAAAGCCAUCCUUUGCCAGAAAUCUCCGCUCUGAUGAUCUGCAGAUGUGUGAACCCCGCGCCCAGUGGAAGUGGAGACGAUAAGUUAAUAGACCACAGCCCCCCUUCCAGUCACUUCUCGGAACCACAUGCGUUUUAAUUAACCCUUGUUGAUGGAACGGGGAGGGGCUGCAAGGACCCUCCUGGCGUCUCUCCCUGGGACUCACUGAGGGAAUGAGCCUGCGAUGCACAGUGAGGCUGCAGCUCCUCCGGGGACCUGGCAUGCCCGUGCCCUCUGCAGACGGCGGCACGGCCUUGGUCCUCUCUGCCCGCAGCUGAGCAUCUCUCUAGUCCACCCGCGGGCGCCGUUCCAGGCGGCGCUGGGCCCGGAAACUCCGAAGACUCGCUCAGGCUGCAGGCUGGCGUCCUGGGUUCUGCCUCGGCAUCCAGGGCCGCGCGGGUGUUUCUGCGUUUGCCUGUGACCGCGUGUCCUCAGGAGGGCUGCGAGAGGCCCCUCCGCAGGUGUGGGGUCCUUCUCAGAGUCCACUCCGGAGCUGACCCCCUUGUCUGGGCCGACCAUCACCUGGGCUUCCUUCUCCCACGCUGGCUUCUCAUUCGUGACCAUCUGUAAUAAGACGAUCCGUUUUCAUGUUUUAGUUCUGUUUCCCAGCCAUGUGCUCGGUGAUCUUCGUGGCAGUUCCUCCCGUCUGAUUCUCGUGGGUUUCCCGGGAGCCUGGGGGUUUCUGGAUGGAGCCUCCCUGUCCAAGGUCUCUGAGAGGGCCCUGGACCACGUGUGGGGUGCUGCCCUCCUGGACAGUGCCUUCUU
ensembl:lncRNA